UAGGAAAUCUUCCGCAAUGGACGAAAGUCUGACGGAGCAACGCCGCGUGAGUGAAGAAGGAUUUCGGUUCGUAAAACUCUGUUGUUAGGGAAGAAAAAAUGUAUAGUAACUAUAUACAAAAGAGACGGUACCUAACCAGAAAGCCACGGCUAACUACGUGCCAGCAGCCGCGGUAAUACGUAGGUGACAAGCGUUGUCCGGAAUUAUUGGGCGUAAAGCGCGCGCAGGUGGUUUAGAAAGUCUGAUGUGAAAGCCCACGGCUCAACCGUGGAGGGUCAUUGGAAACUAAUAAACUUGAGUGCAGGAGAGAAAAGUGGAAUUCCUAGUGUAGCGGUGAAAUGCGUAGAGAUUAGGAGGAACACCGGUGGCGAAAGCGGCUUUUUGGCCUGCAACUGACACUGAGGCGCGAAAGCGUGGGGAGCAAACAGG
rnacentral:rRNA from 1 species